ensembl:snRNA U7 U7 small nuclear RNA
ACAUGUUACAACUCUUUUAGAAUUUGUCUAGCAGGACCUCUAGUCUCUCUCAUGAGGCCUUUCCCCA